UUACAGAUGGUUGUGAGUCACCGUGU
rnacentral:piRNA from 1 species